CUUCUGGUGCCCAAGGAACCAGUGGGUGGGGGGCGCUGGGAAGGGGCGCAGGUCCCGCAGCAGCCGCUGCCUCCGCAGGUACAGCUUAAUGGCCUGCAGCAGCCCCAGGGCCAGGCAGAACACAAACGCCAUACAGGGAAUUGGAGAUACCAAAAAAAAUCCCAUCAACCUGGAUAGUGGUGCCUUUAGAUGGAAAUAAGCCCCAUGAGACUCCCAGAAGGAGGCCCGUGCCUCUCCCAAUGCUCAUCUGAUGGCUCCUUCCAUCUCAGACACAAGAGACAAGAAAUGAAGGCCAAUGAGGAGCUGCUUCAAUCCUACACACAGCCCAAAGAACACCAUACAUUUGUCUACAAACGGGGCAGUGCAAGGUAACUAACCUUUGACCGAAAUUAUAAUAAUUCAGUAUGGCAAUCUAUAUCUUUGAUCCAUU
rnacentral:lncRNA from 1 species